rnacentral:rRNA from 1 species
GAUGAACGCUGGCGGCGUGCCUAAUACAUGCCAGUCGAGCGAACGGACGAGAAGCUUUCUUCUCUGAUGUUAGCGGCGGACGGGCGUGUAACGCGUGGAUAACCCACCUAUAAGACGGGGAGAACUUCGGAAAACCAGUUAUAAUACCAGAUCAUAUUUUGAACGGCAGGGUUCAAAAGUAAAACGCGGUCUUGCUGUCACUUAGAGACGGUUCCGCGCUGCAUUAGCGAGUUGGUAAGGUAACGGCUUACCAAGGCAACGAUGCAUAGCCGACCUGAGAGGGUGAUCGGCCACACUGGAACUGAGACACGGUCCAGACUCCUACGGGAGGCAGCAGUAGGGAAUCUUCCGCAAUGGGCGCAAGCCUGACGCAGCAACACCGCGUGAGUGAUGAAGGUCUUCGGAUCGUAAAACUCUGUUAUUAGGGAAGAACAGAUGUAUAAGUAACUGUGGACGUCUUGACGGUACCUAAUCAGUAAGCCACGGCUAACUACGUG